UAUGGAGUGAUCAUGUUUAUAAAUGUAAUACUGCAUGACUUUGAUGUGCGCGCGCGCGUCUCAUUCCAACACUGGAGCGGAGAGGAUGUUGCUAUGGGAAACGAAGCUACAACACGACACGACAUGACCUGAAAGACACAACACGACUUCUCUCAAGCUGCCGUUUUGACUGUUUUCAGGAGUGAGAGAAUAACCUCCUGCUACAGAAAAUAUAACUCAAGAUUCCUAAAUUUCUGAAGGGAGCUGAUCACAAAGAUACAGGAAAGACAGGAGGUCUAAGUUUAACCUAAGUGCCGUGUUGCUGAUGAACAUCUUUAUAUGCAAAACCGGAGCACCCAGAGAAAACCCACCAAACGCAGAGAGAAUUUGCAAACUACACACAGAAAUGCCUGCUGAUCCAGCUGCGGCUCGAGUCAGCAUCCUUGCUUAUUGGAUGCCUGAUUGCAGUUCAACUCCAAACUCAGUUGGACCAGCUGAUCAGUGUCUU